CAAAAACUAUCUAUGCUGUGUACUUAUAUGUGGAAAAAUGAAAAAAAAAAAAAAGUACAAUGGCCCGCCGCUGACGGCGAACACGUGCCCGGUGGCUUGUUAGUCACUCCAUUCUGGCCGAGAAUAAAAACGGAAUAGACUCGUAUGUGGAAUAACAGCCGUUGAUAACCGACCGCGGUUGUGGGCCAAAAAGAACUGACUCACUGGCCGGAGGACAGGCUAUGGGGGGCAAUUCCCAUUCCCCCGACUCUGGCUUCGUCUACUGGCCCGCGUGCUGUGUGCAUCUCCUGAUGUCAUCGGCCAGUAAUGCGUCGGAUCGUCGUUCCCCUUAUCUCGCCAAUUGAACUGCCAGAUUGCCCGCUGCCACACCGCCCUGCUCGUGGUCCCACUUUUCCAGUCUGUUAUCCCACUUUGAUACAGUAAAGAUCGGUUGAGUGAACCUUGACAAAAGUACGGAAUUUUUUCCUUUUAAAAAAGCA